rnacentral:rRNA from 1 species
AGAGUUUGAUCAUGGCUCAGAGCGAACGCUGGCGGCGUACUUAACACAUGCAAGUCGUACGAGGAUCGUCGGGUUAGCAAUAAUUCGGCGGUUCGAGUGGCGCACGGGUGAGUAACACGUGGGUAACCCACCCUUGAGACCGGGAUACCCUCUCGAAAGGGAGGCUAAUACUGGAUACGUUCCCUGGGACGCAAGAUCUGGGGAGGAAAGGUGGCGAAAGCUGCCGCUCUUGGAGGGGCUCGCGGCCUAUCAGCUAGUUGGUGAGGUAACGGCUCACCAAGGCUAUGACGGGUAGCUGGUCUGAGAGGACGACCAGCCACACGGGAACUGAGACACGGUCCCGACUCCUACGGGAGGCAGCAGUGGGGAAUUUUCCGCAAUGGGCGAAAGCCUGACGGAGUGACGCCGCGUGGGGGACGAAGGCCUUCGGGUCGUAAACCCCUGUCAGAGGGAAAGAAGGGUGUCGGCGUGAAUAGCGCCGGCAUUUGACGGUACCUUCAGAGGAAGCCCCGGCCAACUCUGUGCCAGCAGCCGCGGUAAGACAGAGGGGGCAAGCGUUGCUCGGAAUCACUGGGCGUAAAGGGCGCGUAGGCGGGAUGGCAAGUCGGUCGUGAAAUCCUUCGGCUCAACCGAAGAACGUCGGCCGAUACUGCCGUUCUUGAGGGAUGCAGAGGAGAUUGGAAUUCCCGGUGUAGCGGUGAAAUGUGUAGAGAUCGGGAGGAACACCGGUGGCGAAGGCGGGUCUCUGGGCAUCUCCUGACGCUGAGGCGCGAAAGCGUGGGGAGCAAACGGGAUUAGAUACCCCCGUAGUCC